rnacentral:rRNA from 1 species
UACGGGGGGGGCAAGCGUUGUUCGGAAUUACUGGGCGUAAAAGGGCUCGUAGGCGGCCAACUAAGUCGGAUGUGAAAUCCCCAGGCUUAACCUGGGAACUGCAUCCGAUACUGGAUGGCUUGAAUCCGGGAGAGGGAUGCAGAAUUCCAGGUGUAGCGGUGAAAAUGCGUAGAUAUCUGGAGGAAUACCGGUGGCGAAGGCGGCAUCCUGGAC